rnacentral:piRNA from 1 species
UAAACAAAAGUCCAGUUUUUA